rnacentral:rRNA from 1 species
UGGCUUAGAAGCAGCCAUCAUUUAAAGAAAGCGUAAUAGCUCACUGGUCGAGUCGUCCUGCGCGGAAGAUGUAACGGGGCUCAAAUCUAUAACCGAAGCUGCGGAUGCCAGUUUACUGGCAUGGUAGGGGAGCGUUCUGUAGGCCAAUGAAGGUGCAUUGUAAAGUGUGCUGGAGGUAUCAGAAGUGCGAAUGUUGACAUGAGUAGCGAUAAAGCGGGUGAAAAGCCCGCUCGCCGAAAGCCCAAGGUUUCCUACGCAACGUUCAUCGGCGUAGGGUGAGUCGGCCCCUAAGGCGAGGCAGAAAUGCGUAGUCGAUGGGAAACAGGUUAAUAUUCCUGUACUUGAUUCAAAUGCGAUGUGGGGACGGAGAAGGUUAGGUUAGCAAGCUGUUGGAAUAGCUUGUUUAAGCCGGUAGGUGGAAGACUUAGGCAAAUCCGGGUCUUCUUAACACCGAGAAGUGACGACGAGUGUCUACGGACAUGAAGUAACCGAUACCACGCUUCCAGGAAAAGCCACUAAGCUUCAGUUUGAAUCGAACCGUACCGCAAACCGACACAGGUGGGCAGGAUGAGAAUUCUAAGGCGCUUGAGAGAACUCGGGAGAAGGAACUCGGCAAAUUGAUACCGUAACUUCGGGAGAAGGUAUGCCCUCUAAGGUUAAGGACUUGCUCCGUAAGCCCUGGAGGGUCGCAGAGAAUAGGUGGCUGCGACUGUUUAUUAAAAACACAGCACUCUGCUAACACGAAAGUGGACGUAUAGGGUGUGACGCCUGCCCGGUGCUGGAAGGUUAAUUGAAGAUGUGCAAGCAUCGGAUCGAAGCCCCAGUAAACGGCGGCCGUAACUAUAACGGUCCUAAGGUAGCGAAAUUCCUUGUCGGGUAAGUUCCGACCCGCACGAAUGGCGUAACGAUGGCCACACUGUCUCCUCCCGAGACUCAGCGAAGUUGAAGUGGUUGUGAAGAUGCAAUCUACCCGCUGCUAGACGGAAAGACCCCGUGAACCUUUACUGUAGCUUUGCAUUGGACUUUGAAGUCACUUGUGUAGGAUAGGUGGGAGGCUUUGAAGCAGAGACGCCAGUCUCUGUGGAGCCGUCCUUGAAAUACCACCCUGGUGUCUUUGAGGUUCUAACCCAGACCCGUAAUCCGGGUCGGGGACCGUGCAUGGUAGGCAGUUUGACUGGGGCGGUCUCCUCCCAAAGAGUAACGGAGGAGUUCGAAGGUUACCUAGGUCCGGUCGGAAAUCGGACUGAUAGUGCAAUGGCAAAAGGUAGCUUAACUGCGAGACCGACAAGUCGAGCAGGUGCGAAAGCAGGACAUAGUGAUCCGGUGGUUCUGUAUGGAAGGGCCAUCGCUCAACGGAUAAAAGGUACUCCGGGGAUAACAGGCUGAUUCCGCCCAAGAGUUCAUAUCGACGGCGGAGUUUGGCACCUCGAUGUCGGCUCAUCACAUCCUGGGGCUGUAGUCGGUCCCAAGGGUAUGGCUGUUCGCCAUUUAAAGUGGUACGUGAGCUGGGUUUAAAACGUCGUGAGACAGUUUGGUCCCUAUCUGCAGUGGGCGUUGGAAGUUUGACGGGGGCUGCUCCUAGUACGAGAGGACCGGAGUGGACGAACCUCUGGUGUACCGGUUGUAACGCCAGUUGCAUAGCCGGGUAGCUAAGUUCGGAAGAGAUAAGCGCUGAAAGCAUCUAAGCGCGAAACUCGCCUGAAGAUGAGACUUCCCUUGUGGUUUAACCACACUAAAGAGUCGUUCGAGACCAGGACGUUGAUAGGUGGGGUGUGGAAGCGCGGUAACGCGUGAAGCUAACCCAUACUAAUUGCUCGUGAGGCUUGACUCU